GAACUACCCAUAAGCUCUAAAUGGUAAGAGCGCUCACUAAAUGAGAGGUUGAUGGUUCGAAUCCAUCUGGAUCCA
rnacentral:tRNA from 1 species